rnacentral:rRNA from 1 species
CUUUAUACAAUACGAGUCCAGCUUAAUACCACUUACUACCAUACAUAUACCUAUAUCUCUCUCUCUCUUAAGGCUUAAUAGCCUUUGAGAGAGUGUUCUCUAUGGAUGAGCGAUGGAUCUCUAGGCUCUGUGCAUCGUUGAAGGUCGCAGCGAAUUGCGUUAUAGUGGUCGUGUGAAUUGCAAGUCACAUUGGCCCUUACCGGCUGUGGAACACCUUACUUACCCAACACUCACACACACCGUGCCACGCUUAACUGCAUAAAGGUACGGUGUGCCUGGCUGAGUAUGC